rnacentral:sRNA from 1 species
AGAUUAACUCUUCAGAGACCCUAAACGACAUGUAAGAUAUUGCAUAUGCUAAUCGGAUUUCAAGAAUUUGAUACAACAUAAUCUGUGUUCGGUUCAUUUCGGACCAGUUAGGUUCUGAAUUUAGUAUAGGCUAUUUUCUUGGAAUUCGACUUGAAGCUGUCAUUCAAUUGAUAUCAACAAGUACUAGAAGAAAUGAUAAUUGGUCCUUAUCGUGUACUGCUGAACAUGGUGACAGUUGAAAUUGUCGGCUCUGCAAUGUUUGUUGUUGUAUUCACUUACGGUUAUCGCAGACAAGACUGCCAUUAUCUAUUAAAUUUGUAAGUGCCAAAACUCUGCCAUCAAUUGUCAGUCGUCUGUUUAUGGAGUACAGGGACAUCACCCCGUAAGGUUAAACAGCUGACCCCGAGGCUAAUCCGGGUAACGGGACACAACAACACAGGAACGGGUGCUGAACCAUCUUACCAACCACACAGUGUUUACACAGGCCCACUAGAUCAUCCGUCAUCGGAACUAUGUGCUUCAAGAUAUGUCUUAAAAAUAAAUUUCUAACCGUGAAAUACAGAAAUGUGUCAAUCGAAAGAUGCACUUUCUUCACGGGAACUAUAAUAAUUGGUUAUCCUAAUCAACAAUGGUUUUCCUAUGUGUUUGAAUAUUUUUUAACUAUUCUAUUCACAAACGAUAGUUUGGAAUAAAGAAAUUGAAUAUUUUAAAUGAUGCAAUAUGAAAAAAUAUUUGGUAUUAAUGUCUACAGUUCGAAUUCAAUAAAACCUUUGACGAAAAUAUUAUGUAUCAAAAGAAUACAUUUACAUUCAAUUUUAUAUGCAUUUAUUAAAUUUUACAUUUUUUGUCUUUAUUAAAGAUUAAAUCCUU